rnacentral:rRNA from 1 species
AUUGAACGCUGGCGGCAGGCCUAACACAUGCAAGUCGAACGGAGUGGCGGACGGGUGAGUAAUGUCUGGGAAUCUGCCUGGUAGAGGGGGAUAACGCCCGGAAACGGGCGCUAAUCCCGCAUCCCAUCAGCUGUGCCCAGGUGGGUUUAGCUGGUUGGUGGGGUAAAGGCCUACCAAGGCGACGAUCCGUCACUGGUCUGAGAGGAUGAUCAGUCACACUGGAACUGAGACACGGUCCAGACUCCUACGGGAGGCAGCAGUGGGGAAUAUUGGACAAUGGGCGAAAGCCUGAUCCAGCCAUGCCGCGUGUGUGAAGAAGGUCUUCGGAUUGUAAAGCACUGUAAGUUGGGAGGCGUUACCAGCAGAAGAAGCACCGGCUAACUUCGUGCCAGCAGCCGCGGUAAUUC